GCCCUGCUCUCUACAAGACUGCCCUGGAGAGCAGCUUUCCACCCCUCCUCCUGCACCCUGCGUGCAGGUCCCGCCAGGGCAGAUGUCCCCACUAAGGGCGCCCCCUCCCCGCUCCGCGGAGGGAGGGAGGGAAGGAGGGAGUCCCCCUCGUACCGCUCCGCCCCGCGCGGCUCCCCGCGGCGGCCGUUGGGGCGCGCCUUCGGGAACGUUCUCGCCGGCAACGGCCGCGCGGGAGCAGACUUCCAUGGCUUCAAAGUUCAAUUCACUAAAGAACUAUUCAUAAUUUAUAGCUUGAGGAAGUUCACAUAAAAGAACAAGGCAUCUGGGAACUCAGCAGAGUUUUGCUUUGACAAAUGACCUCAUUGACCACGUUGACAAACACUGACUAUACUGACAAAUGACCAAACCGCAGAUGUUCGUGUUGCAGACAGCUCUGAUUUAAGCCACCACUACCCACCAACUACCUGUUGCUGCUCUUUUCCUGCAAGAUGCCAUUGCCACUGCUCUGCUAGGAGGUCGUUUUUGUGAGCUCUCCCUCAUCUGCUUCAAGUAAAAUGAGCCAGAAAAAGACACUGCAUAUUACAACUAUUUACACUAGCCUGGCUGAUAUUGCCUGAAUCAGAUGACCAAGCUCUCAUACAAACUACUGCAGCAGCAGCAGAAUGACAUCAGGAGGAUGACAUCUACUGCCAGCCUUGGUGACCAUGUUGUGUUAGAGAAAUUCCCUCCUGCCUGUUUCUUGUACUGACCUUGCCCUCCUCCCUCGCCCAGUAACAUCCAGAUACUGUUCACACUGUCUGCUUCCCUAAAGCAGAAGUUCUCAGAACUGGAGGCCGCGCACUGCUGUUGCAAAGCAGCAAUGAUUUGCACACUCCUCUUUUACUUCCAGGUAAUGAAUUGAAUGGUUAGGUAACAUUGUAUUAAAUACUGUCCUACCAAUUUCUUAAAGCAUUUGCUAGUGGUUACCACAGGGAUAGAAACCUGUCGAAGUUACACCUACUGAGAGUAUGGCAUAGCAAUUGGUUACCUCGUGCCUUCCCACAGAUAGGUUGUGUGUAUAUGUACUCUACAACCUGCAGUCAUAGUUCAUUAGGAGGGUAGGCAGGAUUUUUCUGAAGGGAGACACAGGGGUCCAGGUAACUCCUAAAGGGAAAAAGGCCUCUGUGUGUGAAGUUUCCACAUCACCUGUGGAAGGAGACUGAUGACUUAUGAAAUAGGCAUUGGAUCAGUUCAGGUGAUGUUUGGAAAUGGGAUCAACAAUGAGCGUUUACCAGUAUUUUGAUCUGAGAAGAGAG
rnacentral:lncRNA from 1 species